GGCAACCCUGACGGAGCAACGCCGCGUGUGGGAGGACGGCCUUCGGGUUGUAAACCACUUUUCUCAGGGAAGAAGAACUGACGGUACCUGAGGAAAAAGCCUCGGCUAACUCCGUGCCAGCAGCCGCGGUAAUACGGAGGAGGCAAGCGUUAUCCGGAAUUACUGGGCGUAAAGCGUCCGUAGGGGGCUCGUCAAGUCUGCUGUCAAAGCUCGGAGCUCAACUCCGACCCGGCAGUGGAAACUGGGGAGCUAGAGGGCGGCAGGGGCAGAAGGAAUUCCCGGUGUAGCGGUGAAAUGCGUAGAUAUCGGGAAGAACACCAGAGGCGAAAGCGUUCUGCUGGGCCGCGCCUGACCCUGAGGGACGAAAGCCAGGGGAGCG
rnacentral:rRNA from 1 species